rnacentral:rRNA from 1 species
AAUGCCGGAUGCUCCGACUCCUCGCAUGGGGUGUCGGGAAAGAUUUCAUCGGUAUGGGAUGGGGUCGCGUCCUAUCAGGUAGUCGGCGGGGUAACGGCCCACCGAGCCUACGACGGGUAGCCGGCCUGAGAGGGCGACCGGCCACAUUGGGACUGAGAUACGGCCCAGACUCCUACGGGAGGCAGCAGUGGGGAAUAUUGCACAAUGGGCGCAAGCCUGAUGCAGCGACGCCGCGUGCGGGAUGACGGCCUUCGGGUUGUAAACCGCUUUUGAUCGGGAGCAAGCCUUCGGGUGAGUGUACCYUUCGAAUAAGCACCGGCUAACUACGUGCCAGCAGCCGCGGUAAUACGUAGGGUGCAAGCGUUAUCCGGAAUUAUUGGGCGUAAAGGGCUCGUAGGCGGUUCGUCGCGUCCGGUGUGAAAGUCCAUCGCUUAACGGUGGAUCUGCGCCGGGUACGGGCGGGCUGGAGUGCGGUAGGGGAGACUGGAAUUCCCGGUGUAACGGUGGAAUGUGUAGAUAUCG